UGGGGAAUAUUGGACAAUGGGCGAAAGCCUGAUCCAGCCAUGCCGCGUGAGUGAUGAAGGCCUUAGGGUUGUAAAGCUCUUUUACCCGGGAAGAUAAUGACUGUACCGGGAGAAUAAGCCCCGGCUAACUUCGUGCCAGCAGCCGCGGUAAUACGAAGGGGGCUAGCGUUGCUCGGAAUCACUGGGCGUAAAGGGCGCGUAGGCGGCCGAUCAAGUCAGAGGUGAAAGCCCCAGGCUCAACCUGGGAAUUGCCUAUGAUACUGUUCGGCUGGAGACCGGAAGAGGUAAGUGGAACUGCGAGUGUAGAGGUGAAAUUCGUAGAUAUUCGCAAGAACACCAGUGGCGAAGGCGGCUUACUGGUCCGGUUCUGACGCUGAGGCGCGAAAGCGUGGGGAGCAAACA
rnacentral:rRNA from 1 species